GCUGGGCGUGGUGGUGUGUGCCUGUAAUCCCAGCUACUUGGGAGGCUGAGUCAGGAGAAUCACUUGCACCCGGGAGGCGGAGGUUGCAGUGAGCCGAGGUUGUGCCACUGCACUCCAGCCUGGGUGACAGAGCAAGACCCUGUCUCAA
rnacentral:sRNA from 1 species